AUUGAACGCUGGCGGAAUGCUUUACACAUGCAAGUCGAACGGCAGCACGGACUUCGGUCUGGUGGCGAGUGGCGAACGGGUGAGUAAUGUAUCGGAACGUGCCCAGUCGUGGGGGAUAACGUAGUGAAAAUUACGCUAAUACCGCAUACGAUCUAUGGAUGAAAGCGGGGGAUCGCAAGACCUCGCGCGAUUGGAGCGGCCGAUAUCAGAUUAGGUAGUUGGUGGGGUAAAGGCCCACCAAGCCAACGAUCUGUAGCUGGUCUGAGAGGACGACCAGCCACCCUGGAACUGAGAAACGGUCCAGGCUCCUACGGGAGGCAGCAGUGGGGAAUUUUGGACAAUGGGCGAAAGCCUGAUCCAGCCAUUCCGCGUGCAGGAUGAAGGCCCUCGGGUUGUAAACUGCUUUUGUACAGAACGAAAAGGUUUCUACUAAUACUAGGAGCUCAUGACGGUACUGUAAGAAUAAGCACCGGCUAACUACGUGCCAGCCGCCGCGGUAA
rnacentral:rRNA from 1 species